rnacentral:rRNA from 1 species
AGAGUUUGAUCCUUGCUCAGGACGAACGCUGGCGGCGUGCCUAAUACAUGCAAGUAGAACGCUGAAGAGAGGAGCUUGCUCUUCUUGGAUGAGUUGCGAACGGGCGAGUCACGCGUAGGGUAACCUUGCUUGGUAGCGGGGGGAAUAACUAUUGGAAACGAUAGCUAAUACCGCAUACCAAUGGAUGACACAUGUCAUUUAUUGAAAAGGGGGCAAUUGCUCCACUACAAGAUGGACCUGCGUUGUAUUAGCUAGUAGGUGAGGUAAUGGCUCACCUAGGCGACGAUACAUAGCCGACCUGAGAGGGUGAUCGGCCACACUGGGACUGAGACACGGCCCAGACUCCUACGGGAGGCAGCAGUAGGGAAUCUUCGGCAAUGGGGGCAACCCUGACCGAGCAACGCCGCGUGAGUGAAGAAGGUUUUCGGAUCGUAAAGCUCUGUUGUAAGUCAAGAACGGGUGUGAGAGUGGAAAGUUCACACUGUGACGGUAGCUUACCAGAAAGGGACGGCUAACUACGUGCCAGCAGCCGCGGUAAUACGUAGGUCCCGAGCGUUGUCCGGAUUUAUUGGGCGUAAAGCGAGCGCAGGCGGUUUGAUAAGUCUGAAGUUAAAGGCUGUGGCUCAACCAUAGUUCGCUUUGGAAACUGUCAAACUUGAGUGCAGAAGGGGAGAGUGGAAUUCCAUGUGUAGCGGUGAAAUGCGUAGAUAUAUGGAGGAACACCGGUGGCGAAAGCGGCUCUCUGGUCUGUAACUGACGCUGAGGCUCGAAAGCGUGGGGAGCGAACAGGAUUAGAUACCCUGGUAGUCCACGCCGUAAACGAU